rnacentral:rRNA from 1 species
UGGGGAAUAUUGCACAAUGGGGGGAACCCUGAUGCAGCAACGCCGCGUGAGUGAAGAAGUAUUUCGGUAUGUAAAGCUCUAUCAGCAGGGAAGAUAAUGACGGUACCUGACUAAGAAGCUCCGGCUAAAUACGUGCCAGCAGCCGCGGUAAUACGUAUGGAGCAAGCGUUAUCCGGAUUUACUGGGUGUAAAGGGUGCGUAGGCGGCGCGGCAAGUCAGAUGUGAAAGACCGGGGCUCAACCCCGGGGCUGCAUUUGAAACUGCGGUGCUCGAGUCCAGGAGAGGCAGGCGGAAUUCCUAGUGUAGCGGUGAAAUGCGUAGAUAUUAGGAGGAACACCAGUGGCGAAGGCGGCCUGCUGGACUGGUACUGACGCUGAGGCACGAAAGCGUGGGGAGCAAACA